rnacentral:lncRNA from 1 species
ACUGGAGGAAAGGGCAAGGGAUUGCAGUGGCAAAGCUAGGCUAGGUCUUGGAGGCUGGUGUAAGGCGAUGUGGGUGAAGGCAGGAGGCUGAUGGAAAGACUGGGGGGAAGAAAAGCCGAAAUGGAUUCACGGUGCCUUGGAUGAAGGACGAGAGGGGAACUGCAAGCUCCUUCAACUGGUUCUGUCCGGUGAGAAGUGAUCAAGCUUGGGCUGACAAGAGGCUCAGGGAGCCCUCACGUUCUUUCGCUUUUUUACCUGCCAAUCAAACUGCUACAAGACAACACCCUGAUCUGGCAUGGACAUAUCCAACUUAGAAAUAAUGUUUCAUUCAAGAUAAGGCUCGUGGCUUAGGAGAUUGUGACCUGGCUUGCAUCAUUCUAAGACUUCUAUCGUCUGUUUUCAAAACCCAAGGAGGACCUCCUUUUCUGUGUGAUAGUUCCUCAUGCUUUGCCAGCCACUGGGUCUUUAAGGAAGCUUGCCAAGAGUUCCCGGCUGGGAAGGACAGUUCGAGUUCAUCAUAGACAAUGAGCUGGCACCACAGUUUAAGUGACUCACCAACCUGGUUGCCCACUUCAAAAUGUCAAGAACCACACUAUCUAAUUGAAAGAACUGUGUUUUAGCAAAGUGUAAUUGGAUCGCCUGGCAAGAUCAUCUCAAACUAUGUCUCUGACCUUGCCUUUCAGUGGCUAUUUUGAGCACAAGAGGAGAAAGGAAAUGAUUCCUGAAUUAUAUCUUGUUUUUAAAAAUUAAGAUUAAUUAAUACUUGGUUUUAUGUUCAUUCCAUUGUAGGAACUUAGUGAUUAUUACAAAACAGUCAAAAUAGGUCAUAGCAAAAUGAACGUUUAAGAUUAGGUUAAAACAUUCCUCUGAAAUUUUAGUAUUCACUUUUGAAGUGUCAAUUACUAUAUUUCUGUAAUUUCUCAUUUUUUUCUUGGCUUAGAGUCAAGAUGAAAAAUGAUAUUUGAAUCAAAGACAUUGUUUUGUUAUAUAGCCACUCCUUUCUAAAAUGCAAAUCCACCCUCCCCUCACCAAUGCUUUAUUCUUUGUGCGCGCACACACACACACACACACACACACACACACACACACACACAGACAUACACAGAACCAGCACCCAAAUGGUAGAGGAGGUCCUUCCAAGACUUCUAGGACCUGGAUCAUGUAAGCAGUAGAUGAGAAAAUGAAGUAAGAGAUAUAGAGUAAUAACAAUAAAAGUCAAUGAUUUCAUUUUACAAAAAAGUCAUUGUGUAGUACUCAGAUAUUUUUAAGAGCAAGUAUUAUUAUGACUAAAGUAUAUUAUACUUCUAAAUUAUUAUGAUUCUCAUCUAAUUUCAAGCCACACAUAGGCGCCAUUUGAAAGCAUUUUGUGUUACAACCUAUCAACAAAAAUCAACUAAUAGUUUUAUAACGUGCAUAGGUUUACCCCAUGGGGAAUUAAAAUUUUUAUCUGCAAGUAUUUCUGUUGUUGUGAGACUUUAGGACAAGACAACAUUUGGUGUU